CAUAUUUUCCAAUGUCUGAAACACGUUUGAGAUCUUCAUCACUCUUCAAAAUGGUGGGUUUUGGCCACUACUUCGGUUUUCUCCCUUCUGUCUUUCUCAGUUCUUUUCCGGUUCUCUAUUGCUGCAUGGCGAACUCUGCUACAGAGGCUGAAGACAAUGACCGUUAUUAUGGAUUAUGAUUGUGUGGGUUGGGAUUUCGGGCAGAGCUCCCUGAUGAUUCUUCUGCAUCCUUUAGUGUAGACUAGGAUGGCUCAGUCGUGCUUGUCAGGUGCUGGUCUGGUCUGGACCAUCUCAGGCAGCUUCACUCACAUCCUUGGCCCCUUGGCGGGGUGGGCUGCAUGGAUGGGUCCAAUGGGCCCUCCCUGCCAUGUCCUUUCAGGCUUAUCCAUGCAGCAGGUUAGUUCAGGUGUGUUAUGUGACUACUCAAGGCUCCAAGGGGUCAAGGCAGAAGCUUCCAGUUCUCUCAAAGGCUAGUCUUGGAACUGGAAUAAGGUUGCCAGAUUUAGAAAAUAAAACUACAGAAUGCCCAGUUCAAUCUGAAUUUCAGAUAAAUGACAAUAAUUAUUAGUAUAAGUAUGUCUCAAGUGUUGCAUGGGGCGUACUCACACAAAAAGAGUUAUGUUUCUGAAAUUCAAAUUGAACUGGGCGACCUGCAUUUUUUCUGACAACUGUUGCCUGGAAUCACUUUCACUAUCAUCUAUUUGUCAAAGGAGCCACCUGCCAGCCCAGACCCAAGGGGGAGGGCAGAGGACCCACCUCUCCGUGAGGGAAGUGUCAAGGAGUGUGUGGCCUUCUUCAAUUCACCACCGACACUGCAGUCUGGGCUUUGGUCCGUUUUGAUGUAGGGACUGCCAGUGCCGAUGCUCUCCAUGGCCUUCCUGAAUGAGCUGAGGUGCUCGGUGCCACCAUUCACCUCAAAUCCCACCGACCUUGGCACAGCAGGCAACAUGGCACAUAGCGGAAGGAUCCGGAUAGACCUGUGUGUGAAUCCUGUGUUACCUGAGGCAAGUGCCUCGUUCUCUCUGAGCCUCGGUUUCCCCCACGUGUUACAUGUUUAUCACCAUAAUACAGUGGGUUGCAGUAAGGAUUAAACAAGGUGACAAAUGAAUAUAAGACAAAUUACCAGAAAACAGAACACGUUCUGCAUCAAUAGCAGCAGCCCCUGCGAUGGUAGAAGAGCUAUAAAAUGGGAGGAUUGAACUUCAGCGACCAGGAAAUUCGUGAGCCGAGCAAACUGCUCAAUGACUUGCCUUUGCUCUGAGGGCUUUGCAUCCAUGAACUUUUGGCUCCUUUUUGUACUGAACACGCCUGGUCUCUGACUGGGAUAAAUACAAAAGCGAAUGCAACUCUUAGCGCCUUUCGCCAAGGAGUCCCUUCAGGAAUAAUACUGUAAAUAUUGUAAUAUUUUAAAAUCAGGCUUGGAGAACACUGAUUUUCUUUAGCCCCACUCAAGCCCCUCAGUGGAUCCUAAAUUGCUAUAAAUAUCAACGUAUUUAUCUCCUUAACCUUUCAGGUGAUUUUAUUCUGCCCGUCGCACUGCAGCUGUCCAAGCGAAAACAGCAAAGACCUUCUCUGUGCAUGAAAGUGCGUCUCCAUGCGGCCCCUCGGGGCGGGGGGUGAGGGCAGACUCUCGCGCCCACCCUGGGCUUGACCCUGCUCGCUCCUGCUCGUUGCCUUGGAGCUCGGCGUAGCUCCCCGGGUGGAGCCUUGGAGAAGGAUGGUCAGAUUUAUUUGUGGUCUAAACAUGGAUGAAAUUAAACGUAGGCAAAAUAUUUGACAAAAUGCAUUUUGAAAAACAAAAACGAGUUUUAAGGACUGUCACAGCCAAUAAAUUCACUUAGAUGAAGGACUCUAUGUGUAAUAAAAAUGUCCCAUUUAAGAAAUUAAACGAUCUUGUCAUUUGUAACAAGGAUUAAUAGAAUUUUAAAACGGAAUGAGCUACUGUGAAGCUUGGUGAGUCACAAUGGCCUUUCACAUUUGCAAUAUUCCUAAGAUUUAUUAAUUAACACACCAGAAAUGAUUUUAAUGUAACAUUAUGGUACAGAUUUAAACACCCAAAUGGAAAAUGCUUCUUAUUAAGGUUUCUCAUCCUUUCUUAACAUUAAAAUGCUAAACUAAUUAAAACCAAAGGUACUUUAAAAACAGUUUGCUUCCAAACAGAUUUUUAAUAUACACCAAGCCAAGUAUGAACCUAGAGGUAUUUUUUUGGGGAGAUAGAAUCAGAAAUCUAUUAAAAAUAGAAUUUCUAAUAGGUGUUCUAACAGUCUCUUCUCUGUCUGCAUGUGUUCUGCAUGGCAAUAGUGCUGUUUAAGGCAGAAUUUGGGCCCAGGUUGUGAAUUUCAUAAGAGCAUUAGGCAAAACUUUCUAAAGCAUGUCACACUUUAUCACAGUUUUGCUUAAGCUACUCCCAAGAUCUUCCACUGCCCUAGCGUAAAUUUCGUUUUCUUUGUUACAACCUACAAAGCUGUCUGCAAUCCGGUCUCCACCUGUUUUUUCUCCCUCCUCUCAGUGUUGUUGUAUUUCAGCUAUUUUAGCCCCAUUUUACUUUCUUUGAACGUGCGAAGCUUGUUCCUCCUGUAAAGUCUUUGUAUUUUCAAUUCCUUCUAGAAUGUUCUUACCCUAAGUCAUCACAUAGCCUAUUCCUUCUCACUAUUCUGGUUCUGAUUGUCCUACCUAAGAUGCUUCUAAUCUAGCCCAUUACCCUGCAUUAUUCUCUUUAGGGCACUCAUCACACUCUAAAGUAUCUUAAUGUUGUCUCCUUGUUUAUUGUCUGUCUCUUUCAACCAGAAGACAAGGUCCACAAGGUCCUGGUCUGCCUUGUUCCAGCCGGAAUCCUCGGUGCCUAGAACAAAGCUCGGUCAACGGCUGUUGAAGGAACGCAGGCACUGUGGCAUCCAGAGGCGACAAGAAGCGGUGACUACCAGACAGCUGGCAUGAUUUUCAGGCCGCAAAGCUGGUGGAUGAGCACUUGUCUUUCCGGGGAGUGUGCAUGACAGUUGAGACGGCGACACUGGUGACACACACUACCAAAAAUACAGCAAACCACACAGUGCCUCCCCGGUGCCAGCCUUGUUUGAGCACUUCACUGACAGUGACUCAUUCAGUCCUCCUCGUGACCCUGGGAGGUACGGUUCAUUCUCCCCCAUUUUACAGGAUCCUUGCCCCGCUCCCAUGUACUAGGCUCCUCCCCUGCUCAUUUCUGAGACUGAAAUUGCUGAAACAUUGCAUGAUGGACUGGAUGGAGAUAAGAAGAGGAAAGGUUCCCGGGAAGGAAUGCUGGGCACAGCAUCACCCACAUCCACCGCAUGGCAUCCUCUGAAUGGAGAGAACAGUGAUUCUGUGAGAACAUUGGCCCUGGAGAGCUCAGUGUGGACCCCAAGUGCCAGGCCCUGGCACCUGCUCUGACCACCAGGCAGUGACCUUUCCCACAGGGCUCACCUUUAGGAGUUGGAGAGAGCUGCGGCCAUGGAGCAGGCUUGUAUGGGGCGCACCAUUGGACGGCCCUGGGACCUUCGGUCAAGUGCAGAGUGGCAACACCUGGAUGCUUCCCAUCCUGAUGCUAGGAUGCUAAGACAAGGGUGCCAUCGAAAUCACACUGCGUACUGUGCAUGGAAUACCUGUUAUAUGCCGGGUGCGCUUUACCUAACUAUUUUAUUUAAUCCUCACGACAACCCUCAGAGGAAUAUAGAACUAUCCUGAUUUUUACAGGUGAGGAAAUCAAGGUCAAGAGAGGGUAAGUAAAGUAACUGAGAUAUGGUCACACUGCUAGUAGUUAAGUGACAAAGUGAGGAUUCUUGUAAGUCCAGAACUGGCAGUGGCACUGGUCACCAUCUAGGUCCUUUCAUGGGUGCUCCCAUGGCCACUUCCUGUGGCUGGAGACCAGAGCAAGGCCCAGUGAACUUGGGACUUCCCUGAGUAGGCUGGGAUGCUCGUGCAUCCAAAGGAGCACAGAGAACUUGCAAACAGGGAUUGAAGUCAAACUGGAAUGCGUGCAGUUCACCUCUCCAGCUAGCAGCUCUUGGGUUUUCUCUCAGCAGCGUGAGCAUCACUGUGUCUGACGCUCAGCCCACAGCGGGCUCAGCACGUGAAGGCCCCACGGGAGGGCGAGAGGAAUCCUUGCUCUGGCCUGUGUGGGAAGGGGCGGGGGCCGGCCAGCGGCUCCCGUGGUUGCCUCGGCUGUGCCUCGUCCCAGGGCCUGGAGUAGGUGCCCAGAAAAUACUCCUUCGCUGAACAAGUUAAUGAAAAGUGAUACUGGCUGCUGGCUUCUCUCCCAGCCCCAGCAAAGUCCUCUGCAGCGUCAAGGCGGUUGGGGAGGGGUCCCUGGCGGGAGGGCAGACAGGGAGGACGCUGCCUCCGGCCAUCAGGCGCACUCUGCUCCUUUGGUUCUGAUGACUCCCUCACCCACCUCCACGUCCUGGGUUCAGUCCCAGCACCUAUUCUCAGAGAAAGGAUCCCUUGAGAAAAUGAUGCAUUCGAAAUAGGCAAAGGGAUGGCAGAGGGAGAGUCGGGAACGCGGAUAUGGGAAGACGGUCAGUCCUCACUGGGGGGUUCCUGGAAGAUGAACUGAAGGACGGUGUCUAGUCGGUCUUCAAAAAACAGGUGUUUAAUUCCCUUUGGUGCUGGAGGGGUGGCCCAUGUCAAUAACCUUUUUGAGAUGCUAGUGAGAGCGAUGCAUCCCUCACGAGGAGAGGAGAGCGGGCACACACGAUUUCAAGAGCCCCCAGGACCCCCUGGACUGGUCUGGCUUUAGAAACUUUGCAUUAGAGAGAAGAAAAGGGGCUGUCACCUGUAAGCCCUGCGAAAUGAACAACAGCGAAAGCAUCCAGACUGUCCAUUCGUUGUCCUUUUAAAAUUUGCAUCAUUUGAUGAACUUACAGUCUUUAGCAUGAAAAAAUGAUCACAAGAAUGCCAAGUGCUUUCUGUGUAUCAACUCUUUUCAUCCCUUUGACCGAACUAAAGUUUACCUGGAAAAAAAUUCUGUACCCUUCAAACAUAAAGAACUUGAAAUGUCGUCCAAGGUCGCUUGUUGGGGGAGAGAUGACUAAGCGAGGGGGGGACUCGCUCCCUCACUCACUUCCCUCUGAAGAUCACGGGAGAGGUGUACAUCUUAUUGAAUUUCUUCAAGUUCUUCCCUAAACCUGCCUGGGACCCCUGUGAAAUGGUCAUAGAACACCACCAUCACCCUUCCUGCUGCUGCUCCGAGGCAUUUACGUGCAUUAUCUAGAUUCUUCACAGCUAGGAAGAGGAUGUGGGGCUCAGAGGGGCUGACUUGCCCCAGGCCACAGAGUCAGGCCAGGGCUGGGACAAGGGAAUUCUGAGACUCCUGACAAAGCCUGUCUGGCCUCAUCCUGUAUUUGGUAUUUUUAACCAAAUCAAGCUGUUUGUCAACCUUUCUGCAACAGGAAGCAGUCACGUAGCAGAGCCUCUGACCCCCGCUCUGGUCUGGGUGCUGGGCGUGGGUGGAACAGGAGCUGCUGGGCUGGGAGGCCCAGGGGUUUGCCUGGCGGCAGCAGGACUGUGACUCCUGCAGGGACGUUUGCCGAGCAGCAUCUGUCCCCUACGCCUGCCUUCCUGGACCGAGUCUCUCUGUGGUCAGCUGUGGCCCCGAGAUCCUGGCCAGCACCCGGGGCAGUGGGAGGGGUGGUGGGAACGGCCGGGCUGUGUUAACACACCUGCGUUGGCCUCCCAGCUGUUUGCUUCACAACAGGGCUGCUGUUAGCAAUUGCGAAACAUUUUCACACCACCCACCCGCUCCCCACUGCUCUGUAACAUUUGUUGGCACUCACCAUCGGGGUUGAACUGCUUUAUUUUAUUUAUUUUUAUUGAGAAAGGGACACUAGAAUUCUUUAUGUCUGGGAAUAAGCCAGCCUGGCCCAGUGUGGAGUGCGGAAAUAUUCCAUCUCCCUUCUGUGCCCAGAAUUAUUUUUGUUUUCUUCGAUACACAACCUAGAUACGCUACAGCAAGGAAAUCGGUUGAUUUUCGAAACCAAAACUCUUUUCCUGUUUAUCAGGGUUGAAAAAAAAAAUUCCACCGUUGUCGAUCACGGUGCCAGCUUAUCUUUGUGGGUGGUGUUUGAUUCAUUUUCUUUUUCAUCUGCUGCGUGUUCCUAAUAUUGUUCCAAAGGAAGUGGCCGUUAUAUCUUCAAGCCAAGAUUAGUGAAUUAAUAUUAUUAUUAGGAUGGAUACGAAUCGUUGACACACGAGGGACCUGGUGAUGGACAGCACGUGGGCUUCGGCAUCAGCUCAGCUUGGUCCUUAGGAGUUCAGCGGCUGCAGGUGGGCACCUUGCUAACUCCCGUGAGCCUCAGGAAGCCACACUGUGAAAUGAGCAGCGUGCCACACGGUGGGCGCUCAUCACUGCUGGUGGUGGGCACUCUUCCUGCCACUCAGUUUAGUACCGUCUUGUGUGUUUUCCACCAAUAGAAUGCAAGCUCUGUGAGGGCAGUGUCUCCCGCCCGUUGUCUUCAUUGCUGUACCUACAGAGUCGGGUGCCCAACGCAGGGCAGACACUCAACAAAUAUUUGUUGAAUAAAUGAAUGAAUGAGUGAACAAGUGAAUACCAGGGUCUGUUUUGGAACAGCCACCUUCCAGAAACAGUUAUUUUCAUCAGCCAGGCAAAGGGAAUGCCUUAGGACAAACACACAGUGGAGGAAAAGGAAAUACCCAAAGUCUAGGAGAAUUUUGUGCCUGCCCACCCUCUCCUGCCUGCCUCUCCAUUUUUCCUGCCCCUGAGGAUAAAUGAGGCAUUGGGCAUAUGUUGCAGCACAGGGCAACAGAAGGUGCUGAAAGACGUUCAGUAAGAGGAGAACAUGGCCCCGAAAAUUUGCAGGCAUCCAGGGCAGGAGUUCAAAUGGAGGCCCAAAUAUUAAAGAUCUUAGUAUUUAAAACGACACAUUUAGCUUAAUAAUUGUUGAGUGAAGUAGUUUCUCUCCUCCUGCCUUGACCUCAAGGACCAGCUUCAAAUCUGGAAUUCAGACUCCUUGAGGCUCAGUGCCAGCACAUGCCCGCAGAGGGAGAGCUGGCUUCCAGCCUCUCCCCAGCCUUUUCCUCUCCACACCCCGCCCUCUCGCGGCCCCUCCCUGGAGCUCACUGCCCUCCCAGGGGCCUCCUGCUGCGUGUGGGUGCCCCCGCCCAUGCAUCCCAGCUCCACUGUCACCACCCACAAUGGGGGCCUUGGCCUCCCUGGACUCACGGGUGGACACGACACAGUGGAUUUCCUGGAGGAGGACAGAAGACUUUGGGGAGGGGCAACAUAGGCCCUGAAGUGGGCUUGGUGACAUCUAGGCCAGGAAUCUUCGGGUCCUGGGCACCCAGAACAUGGUGUCGGUGGGGUCAUGUCCCCUUGAGGUGGGCGCAUAUUCCUGGCCCCAUCAACUUCUGCCCCCAUGGAGAGAGGUGCAGCAGGGGGGCACAGUCAAAUGGGGCCUCCUAAGGAUGUGACCAGGACCCAUUGAAGGGCUGUGUGGGUUCAGGGAAUGCCCCCUCCCAAAGUGCAAUAAGUGGUAGGACUGGGAGAGGAAGAAGCCUGUGGAAGGGCUGGCCUCUGUUUCCCUCAGACAUGAAGUGUUGGGCAAGGACUGAGGCCAUUGCGGUGGAGACUUUUCCCUGUUCUCAGGCCUCAGGGAACGGUUGCCUGUCCUGCGCACUAAGAAUAAUCCUGCAGGGGGCAAAGCUUCAGUCUGCAAAGCAGCUUGUCUGACAUCCCCCUCCCGCGGUCCUCACAGUAGCCCCAGUGGACCCGCUGAGUCCUCAUCCCACUUUACAGGGGAGGAGACUGAGUCUCCAGAGGCUGGCAGAGCCUGACAAGGACUGUUUUUGCAUGGAAGUUCAAGGCCUCAGCCAGGGGCAUGCAGCCAAGCAGAGGCAGGGACAGGUACGAGGCCAGAGCCCCCUUCCUUGCACCAAAUCUCCCAAGAGUGGCCUUCCGCAGCCGGUGGUCAGGAUGGUGCCAGCUCAGCCCUGGGCGCUGGGUCUUCUUGGUCUCAAGAGCAUGAACAGCCUGUGCUGCUCCGACGGUCUAGCUCCACAGCCUUGGGGGCGCAGGUGACUCUGGACAUGUCGGACUGAGCCCCUCUCCAAACUUGCAAAUUAGCCCCAGGCGACAGCGUGGCCCAGCCUCCCUGCCUGCCCUGUGUUCUCAGGGCCCCAGGGACCUGAGGUAGACACGAUCUUAAGCACCUUUUGAGUUCUCUAGGCCUCACUUGUCUCCUGGACCCCUGGGCUCUUACUCAGGAAUCAGCGAGGCAGCUGCUGCCCUCCCUGCACCCCCUCAUCCCCACUGGGGUGGGGCUGGGGCUGCACAGGCAUGGGGCUCUGACCUCCGCCUCUCCUAGGCCAGGCUCUGAGGCUACCUGGAGAAGCCAGGUGACGCCCUGGGAAGUGUAGGUGUUCACUGCUUGUGGUGUGGUUGUGACUCCUGAGGACUGGAGGGGCAACAACCCCCCGACAUUGCUCCCUUGGGUGGGCCAGUCCUGGGCUGGGUUGUUCUGUGCAGCUGUUUCUAGAUGUCCCACGUGGCAUGGGGACCCUUAGUGCCUCUUGGUGGCCGGUAGAGCAGGACUGCUUGGCAAGUCAGCACCUUGUGUCUGCUUCCCUUCCUUGCCCCUCUUGCUCCCCUCUGCCCUCACAGUGGUCCAGGAAAGCAGGAGCGUCCAAGCCUUGCCUCCAUCUCUGCCCUCCAGAGAAUCUGAGUUGCCUCAAGCCCCACGGUGGCUGUUGCUGGGCUCUCACAGUCUGCAGAGACGGCCCCUCUCUGACUGCUGCUUCUGGGCUUCUACUCCAGCAUUCGCGAUCCUUUGUACAAUUUCUUCCACUCCAGCGUCCCUGGUGAAAAACAAAACAAAAACGAACCACAGGGUGAUAGAGUCUCGGAUGGAAACACUGACUCACCAGCUUUGUUGGAGGAGUCAGUGUGUCACAGUGCUCAGGACGGUGGCCUCAACAGUCAGACUGUCUUCACGUGCGUCACAGCACUUACUGUGUGAUCUUGGGGAAGUUACUCAACCUUUCUGGACCUUAGCAUCAUCUUCUGGAAAAUCGAGAUAAUGACAACAUUUACCCCAUAGGAUUGUUGAGUAGAUUAAAUGAAAUAAAGUCAAGGCUAGGGCCAUAAUAAGCACUCAAUAAAUGUUGGCUAUCAUCUUGAGCUACUCAAAACAAGUCUACCCUCUCCGACUUGACAGCUCUUAAAAUAGCCAACAGUGGUUACCAUUUAUUGAGUGUCUUCCAGACACUCGGAACUCUGCCCAAGCUCUUUGAUUGAACUCCUUGGCAUUCUACAGUGAGAACACCGAGGCUCGAGGUGAGCCAGAGGACGAACGUCUUGAGCUGGAAGUUGUACCCAGGUCUGCCCGAUGCCAAAGCCCAUAUUCUUUUCACUGUGCGGCACUGAAGGGCAUUCCACUCUUUUCUUUCUUCCAGGAGCACCUGCACCUUCUUUUCACCAUGAAGCUUCCACAGCUGACCUUUGAAGUGCCAAGAGGAAAGGACAGAUGUGAAGCCACAGUGAAUGGGUUCUACCAGGAGGGGAAGGUUCCGGGCUGGAAGCAGCAAGAAGCAAGCUUAUGGCUGGUGUCACCGCUCACAACCAGCCUUUCCUAAUGGGCCAAAGGAGAAGUGAAAACUGACAAAUAGGUUUGGCUUCAUAUGAAGGUGCAAAGAGAACAGCCCAGCUCCGAGAGACAUUUCCAUCCACCCGAGGUGCAAGGGUGCUGGCUCCCAUGAUGCGGGAAGUGCUGUGGUAGCACCCAAGUUGGAGGGUGGCUGAAGUCCUGCACGUGGACAGUCCAGUCAGCCUGUCUGUGGUGCCUUUCUGGAAGCCACAGACAUGUCUCCCCUCUUGUGAGCCCAUGUCCUAAUGUGGUGGUUUGCUCCCUGGCAAGUGUGAGCAGCUGUGAGGAAGGUGGCCGUGAGAGAGUCCCGCUGACAUCUGCUGACCGGUGUGGUUGAGCCCCGCCACUCACUCCCCACGGGGAGAAGCUGUCCUGUCAUUAAGCAGUGGAAGCACAACUGUUGUUAGUAUCUUUUCUUUUUAAGUUGAUGUGGAAAAGGACUUCUUUUACCACCUUG